rnacentral:rRNA from 1 species
AGAGUUUGAUCCUGGCUCAGGACGAACGCUGGCGGCGUGCCUAAUACAUGCAAGUAGAACGCUGAAGAGAGGAGCUUGCUCUUCUUGGAUGAGUUGCGAACGGGUGAGUAACGCGUAGGUAACCUGCCUUGUAGCGGGGGAUAACUAUUGGAAACGAUAGCUAAUACCGCAUAACAAUGGAUGACACAUGUCAUUUAUUUGAAAGGGGCAAUUGCUCCACUACAAGAUGGACCUGCGUUGUAUUAGCUAGUAGGUGAGGUAACGGCUCACCUAGGCGACGAUACAUAGCCGACCUGAGAGGGUGAUCGGCCACACUGGGACUGAGACACGGCCCAGACUCCUACGGGAGGCAGCAGUAGGGAAUCUUCGGCAAUGGGGGCAACCCUGACCGAGCAACGCCGCGUGAGUGAAGAAGGUUUUCGGAUCGUAAAGCUCUGUUGUAAGUCAAGAACGAGUGUGAGAGUGGAAAGUUCACACUGUGACGGUAGCUUACCAGAAAGGGACGGCUAACUACGUGCCAGCAGCCGCGGUAAUACGUAGGUCCCGAGCGUUGUCCGGAUUUAUUGGGCGUAAAGCGAGCGCAGGCGGUUUGAUAAGUCUGAAGUUAAAGGCUGUGGCUCAACCAUAGUUCGCUUUGGAAACUGUCAAACUUGAGUGCAGAAGGGGAGAGUGGAAUUCCAUGUGUAGCGGUGAAAUGCGUAGAUAUAUGGAGGAACACCGGUGGCGAAAGCGGCUCUCUGGUCUGUAACUGACGCUGAGGCUCGAAAGCGUGGGGAGCGAACAGGAUUAGAUACCCUGGUAGUCCACGCCGUAAACGAUGAGUGCUAGGUGUUGGAUCCUUUCCCGGGAUUCAGUGCCGCAGCUAACGCAUUAAGCACUCCGCCUGGGG